rnacentral:lncRNA from 1 species
UGGUCACCUUGAAGCUGGAUCACCUGGCCAUUAGUAAACUAAACUCAGAUCGAAAGAACCAUCAGCGACUGGAAGGAAAAGGGUAUAAUUUAUAACUAGUUACACACCUGGCCUAACUCAGGGUCCUGGACGACAGUACCAUUACAGCAGAACUCCUUCUUCAGGUCCUUUAGUAUCUUGUUAUAGCUGAAGUCCUUCUUCAACCCUUGCACAGUCGUCAAGCUCUUCCUUCCAUUUCUCUGCUGGAUCCGGAUGUGGACGUACUCUUUUGUACCAGCGCCCGAGUCC